UAGGAUGCAGUAGAUAUGAUGUUGUG
rnacentral:piRNA from 1 species